UUCACGGAGAGUUUGAUCCUGGCUCAGGACGAAUGCUGGCGGCGUGCUUAACACAUGCAAGUCGAACGGUGAAGCCCUUCGGGGUGGAUCAGUGGCGAACGGGUGAGUAACACGUGGGCAAUCUGCCUCGUACUUUGGGAUAACCCGGGGAAACUCGGGUAAUAGCCGGAUAGACUCUGGGCGCAUGCCUGGUGGUGGAAAGCUCCGGCGGUACGAGAUGAGCCCGCGGCUACUCCAGCUUGUUGUGGGGUGAUGGCCUGCCAAGGCGACGACGGGUAGCCGGCCUGAGAAGGGCCGACGCGGCACACUGGGACCGAGACACGGCCCAGACUUCCUACGGGACGGCAGCAGUGGGAAUAUUGCACAAUGGGGGCAAGCCUGAUGCAGCGACGCCGCGUGAGGAUGACGCCUUCCCGGUUGAAACCCUCUUUCAGCAGGGAAGCCAACUUGGCCUUUUGGUUGGGGUGACGGUACUUGCAGAAGAAGAGCACGGCUAACUACGUGCCAGCAGCCGCGGUAAUACGUAGGGGGAGCAUUGUCGGAAUUAUUGGGCGUAAGAAGCUCGUAGGCGGCUUGUUGCGUCGAUGUGCAGCCGCCUUAACCCGGGUCUGCAUUGAUACGCGGCAGGCUAGAGUUCGGUAGGGAGAGCUGGAAUUCCUGUGUAGCGGUGAACCAUGCGCAGAUAUCAGGAGGAACACCCGGUGGCGAAGGCGGUCUCUGGCGAUACUGACGCUGAGGCGAAAAGCGUGGGGAGCGAACAGCGACUGAUACCCCCUGGUCGAAUACCACGGCCGUAAACGUGUGGGAACUAGGUGGUGGGCGGACAUUCCAGCGUUGUCCGUGCCGUAGCUAACCAUUAAGUUCCCCGCCUGGGGAAGUAGCGGCCAGCAGGCCUAAAACUCCUCAAGGCAAUUGACAGGGGGCGCACAAAGAGGCGGACAUGUGGCUUAAUCGAGCGCACACGCGAAGAACCUUUAACCAAGGCUUGACAUCGCCGGGACGGCUCCAAGAGAUGGGGUUUCCUUUUGGUCGGUGACCCAGGUGGUGCAUGGCCUGUCGUCAGCUCGGUCGUAGAUGUUUGGGUUACAGUCCCGCAACGUAGGCGCAACCCUUGAUAUCUGCUGUUGCCAAGCACGCUCCUUUAUUGGGGUGGUGGGGACUCACAGCGAGACUGCGCGGUCAACACCACCGGAGGAAGGUGGGACGGACGCUCAUAGCUCAAUCGAUGGCCCCAUUAUGUCUUGGGCUGCACACGUGUACAAUGGCGGUAGCAGUGAGGCUGCGAAUACCGUGAGGUGGACGCGAAUCCUCUAAAAAGCCGGUCUCAGUUCGGAUUGGGGUCUGCAAACCUCGACCCAUGAAGUCGGAGUCCCUCUAGUAAUGCGCAGAGUCAGCAUUGCUGGGCGGUGAAAUACGUCCGGCCUUGGUUACACAACGCGUCACCGUCACGAAAGUCCGGUAACACCCGAAGCCGGUGGCCCAACCCCUUGUGGGGAGGGUCGUCGAGGUGACUGGCGUGGGACGAAGUCGUUAACAGUACCGUACGCGGAAGGUGCGGCUGAUCACCUUCCUU
rfam:Streptomyces vitaminophilus strain ATCC 31673 Contig25, whole genome shotgun sequence.